AUUGAACGCUGGCGGCAGGCCUAAUACAUGCAAGUCGAGCGAGCGGCGGACGGGUGAGUAAUGUAUGGGGAUCUGCCUGAUGGAGGGGGAUAACUCCUGGAAACGUUAGCAAAUACCGCAUACCAUCAGAUGAACCCAUGUGGGAUUAGCUUGUAGGUAAGGUAACGGCUUACCAAGGCGACGAUCCCUAGCUGGUCUGAGAGGGUGAUCGGCCACACUGGGACUGAGACACGGCCCAGACUCCUACGGGAGGCAGCAGUAGGGAAUAUUGCGCAAUGGGCGCAAGCCUGAUGGAGCAAUGCCGCGUGUAUGAAGAAGGCCUUCGGGUCGUAAAGUACUUUCAGUCGGGAAGCGGUACCGACACAGGAAGCAACGGCUAACUCCGUGCCAGCAGCCGCGGUAAUUC
rnacentral:rRNA from 1 species